GGCUUUUUUAUGGCGGUUUUGGAGCAGUGGCUUCUUCCUUGCUGAGUAGGCUUUCAGGUUAUGUCGAUAUAGGACUCAUUUUACUGUGGAUAUAGAUACUUUUGUACCUGUUUCCUCCAGCAUCUUCACAAGGUCCUUUGCUGUUGUUCUGUGAUUGAUUUGCUUGCACUUUUCGCACCGAAGUACAUUCAUCUCUAGGAGACAGAACGCGUCUCCUUCCUGAGCGGUAUGAUGGCUGCGUGGUCCCAAGGUGUUUAUACUUGCGUACUAUUGUUUGUACAGAUGAACGUGGUACCUUCAGGCAUUUGGAAAUUGCUCCCAAGGAUGAACCAGACUUGUGGAGGUCUUUUGUGGAGGUCUUGGCUGAUUUCUUUUGAUUUUCCCAUGAUGUCAAGCAAAGAGGCACUGAGUUUGAAGUGUGUUAAUCAUAGAGCCAGGCCUGUCAGCUGAACUGUGGGAGCAUUACAUCUACUGAGGAUAGGGAGGCUGAGAGGAACAAGUCCUGACGCAGGGUAUAGGCUUCUGCAGACCAAUAACACUGCUGAGCCCCCACACAGUCCGAUGAGUAGCUAACCUGAGUGGGUGUGUGUGUGUGUGUGUGUGUGUGUGUGUGUGUGUGUGUGUGUGUCUGUUUGUGUCUUUGACCCAACCCAUCACUUAAACAGCCACAUAUCACAAUUCACAUCACGAAUGCCACUCAAAAUACGUCCCCAUGAGCUGUGAUAUUCCAAUCGCAUCCCUAAAACCAACGUCCUCCAAAUUAACACCACUAACCCCUUCUCUGUACCCCUCUCACCCUUGGUGUCGGUUGUGUGCAACUCAAACGCUCAAAUAAACUUUUGAGGGAGUGUUGCGCACCACGGCGGUUGAUGUUGGAGGAGUUAUUACGUGUCCUGGCAGAGGGAGAGGCGGAAACAGCCUGGACUGACUGGGCUGACCUGGGCCAGAGUGUUUAUAGAGGCCAGAUCACACUGCCUCGCUGUGCGACACCUCUCUUUUCUCUCUCUCCCUCUGUCUCGCUCUCUCCCUCUCUCUCUUUAACUGUGAGUGUCUCUCUUUCUGUUUCUCUCACUCUCCCCCUCUCUCUCUCCCCCUCCCCCCGCUCUCUUUCACCUUUCUCACCCCUCUCUUCCAUCCAGGCCAUUCACACAGGCGCCCUGCCUCACCUCACCCAGCCAGGACACACCACAGUGAAAACCCACAGCUCCAAAUGCUCGCUGGCAGCCAUACUCGGGUCUUUACAAGCAGUAUGCUAUGCUCUACAGAGCUGAGGAGAAAAAUAAUCACGUACUCUGAGUACUACAGGGAAACGGGGAGAAAGGAGUCAAGAAAAUACCCAGUGAACAGUGACGACCAAGAGGUACAUCAGGAAGGGAGCUCUGUUCACCCUCAGUCCUCUUCGACAGUAAUGUCCGAAAGUUACGUUGUCUGCGUCACGGUGAAGUUACUGAUGAGCCGUAGGAGUAAAGCUGCUAUGGAUUUGAGUUAAUUCCAGUGCUUCUGGAGCCCACAUCCUUGAAAAGUCUGACUUAAUGGGGUGCAGCUCAUCCAUGUACUCUAUGUAACCACACCUCCAGUAGAGCUGUAAUGGAGCACAGACUGUCUGUGGUGUGUUACCAUACCUCUAAAGGAGCCAAAAUGAGGUACAACUUAGGGGCUGUACUGUAUAACCACACCUCCAAUUGUCGUAAUGGGGAGCGCUGCAGCUGAACUGUAAUUGGGGACAGCAGGCUUGAGAAUAAUCAUAACGGGGGACAGCCCUGAUCUGUACUCCUUAAAUCCUGCACUGUAAAUCCCAAGCUGCUAAACAGUCCUGCUUUGAAGGGG
rnacentral:lncRNA from 1 species